rnacentral:rRNA from 1 species
CAAUAAGCGGAGGAAAAGAAACCAACAGGGAUUGCCCCAGUAACGGCGAAGUGAAGCGGCAAAAGCUCAAAUUUGAAAUCUGGCCUCCUACGGGGGUCCGAGUUGUAAUUUGUAGAGGAUGCUUCGGGUGUGGCCGCCGUCUAAGUUCCUUGGAACAGGACGUCAGAGAGGGUGAGAAUCCCGUCUUGGGCGGCCGGUCCGCGCCCGUGUGAAGCUCCUUCGACGAGUCGAGUUGUUUGGGAAUGCAGCUCUAAGCGGGUGGUAAAUUUCAUCUAAAGCUAAAUACUGGUCGGAGACCGAUAGCGCACAAGUAGAGUGAUCGAAAGGUUAAAAGCACCUUGAAAAGGGAGUUAAACAGCACGUGAAAUUGUUGAAAGGGAAGCGCUUGCGGCCAGACUCGGGGGCGGGGUUCAGCGGGUGCUCGUCGCCCGUGCACUCCCCGUUUCCCGGGCCAGCAUCAGUUUCGACGGCCGGUCAAAGGCCUCCGGAAUGUGUCGUCUCUCGGGACGUCUUAUAGCCGGGGGUGCAAUGCGGCCCGUCGGGACUGAGGAACGCGCUUCGGCUCGGAUGCUGGCGUAAUGGCCGUAAGCGGCCCGUCUUGAAACACGGACCAAGGAGUCUAACAUCCACGCGAGUGUUCGGGUGUCAAACCCGUGCGCGCAGUGAAAGCGAACGGAGGUGGGAGCCUUAGGGCGCACCAUCGACCGAUCCUGAAGUCUUCGGAUGGAUUUGAGUAGGAGCGUGGCCGUUGGGACCCGAAAGAUGGUGAACUAUGCCUGAAUAGGGUGAAGCCAGAGGAAACUCUGGUGGAGGCUCGCAGCGGUUCUGACGUGCAAAUCGAUUCGUCAAAUUUGGGCAUAGGGGCGAAAGACUAAUCGAACCAUCUAGUAGCUGGUUCUGC